UUCUUUUUUUAUUUGAUUGUCUUAUAAAAUAUUUUGGAACGUUAAGGUUACAUAGUUACCAAAGCAGGUAACCAGUAAAUAACAGUGUAAAAUUUGGGUUGUUUACUUCCGACGAUGAUUACUUUCUUAUAUGCAAUGAAAUGUAGUGUGAAAUUUUCACUGUAUCACUGGAAAGGAUUAAACUUUAUACAUGCAAAGUAUUUCUUUGGUUGAAAUAAAGUGUUAACCAUGUUCUGAAGAGUAUUCUGUUGAAAAAUAUUAUAUGUGAAUUGGUCUGCAGAUGACACUUCAGCAUUAAAACAAAAGAUAUCAAGUUUUGAUGAAAAAGGAAAGAUGGAGGGAAAAUGGACCAAUACAGACUAAAACAGACCUUCAAAUGAACUCUAAAAGGUGC